rnacentral:rRNA from 1 species
GUCGACGGUCCAUGGGGGCUUGCCUCCAUGGGUAGUGGCGAACGGUUGCGUAACACGUGAGUAACCUGCCCCGAAGUUCGGGAUAACACCGGGAAACCGGUGCUAAUACCGGAUAUGCUCCCACCGCCACAAGGCGGAGUGAGGAAAGUCUUUUCGCUUCGGGAGGGGCUCGCGGCCUAUCAGCUUGUUGGCGGGGUAACGGCCCACCAAGGCAACGACGGGUAGCUGGUCUGAGAGGACGAUCAGCCACACUGGGACUGAGACACGGCCCAGACUCCUACGGGAGGCAGCAGUGGGGAAUAUUGCGCAAUGGGCGAAAGCCUGACGCAGCAACGCCGCGUGGAGAGAUGAAGGCCCUCGGGUCGUAAACUCCUUUCAGCAGGAACGAAGAUGACGGUACCUGCAUAAGAAGCUCCGGCCAACUACGUGCCAGCAGCCGCGGUAAUACGUAGGGAGCAAGCGUUGUCCGGAUUUAUUGGGCGUAAAGAGCUCGUAGGCGGCUUGGCAAGUCGGAUGUGAAACCCCCAGGCUCAACCUGGGGCCGCCAUUCGAUACUGCUAUGGCUUGAGUUCGGUAGGGGAUUGUGGAAUUCCCGGUGUAGCGGUGAAAUGCGCAGAUAUC